GAAGGUGGCAAGCGUUGUUCGGAAUCAUUGGGCUUAAAGCGCACGUAGGGCGGACUGGAAAGUGUCUUGUGAAAACCCACGGGCUUAACCGUGGAAUUGCUUGGCAAACUAUCAGUCUUGAGGCAAGUAGGGGUACAUGGAACUCUUAGUGGAGCGGUGGAAUGCGUAGAUAUUAAGAGGAACGCCAAUGGUGAAGACAGUGUACUGGGCUUGUACUGACGCUGAGGUGCGAAAGCGUGGGGAGCGAACGGGAUUAGAUACCCCGGUAGUCCACGCCGUAAACGAUGUCUACUGGAUCGUGGGAGUUCUGACACUUUCACGGUCGAAGCAAAAGUGAUAAGUAGACCGCCUGGGGAGUACGGUCGCAAGGCUA
rnacentral:rRNA from 1 species